AGGAUGAACGCUGGCGGUCUGCUUAACACAUGCAAGUCGAACGGAGUAGAAAUACUUAGUGGCGGACGGGUGAGUAACGCGUGAGAAUCUACCUUCAGGACGGAGACAACAGUUGGAAACGACUGCUAACCCCCGAUGUACUGAAAAGGCAAAUAUUUAUAGCCUGAAGAAGAGCUCGCGCCCGAUUAGCUAGUUGGAGAGGUAAAAGCUCACCAAGGCGACGAUCGGUAGCUGGUCUGAGAGGACGAUCAGCCACACUGGGACUGAGACACGGCCCAGACUCCUACGGGAGGCAGCAGUGGGAAUUUCCGCAAUGGGCGAAAGCCUGACGGAGCAAGACCGCGUGGGGAAGAAGGCUCUUGGGUUGUAAACCCCUUUUCUCUGGGAAGAACGCAAUGACGGUACCAGAGGAAUCAGCAUCGGCUAACUCCGUGCCAGCAGCCGC
rnacentral:rRNA from 1 species